CACGUUUCAGCAUUUCUACAGCCAAAUAUACUGCUCCAGGAUGGUUUGCUGCCUCCCUAAAUCCACGAUCAAGAAUGUCACCGAGUAGCUGCAGAAUAUUCUUAUUGGGAGCGGAUGAACGGGCAGAAGGCAUGGUCUAUAUUGCUAUCAAAAACAUAGCUGACAUCAGUGCACACGCAGACCGGCAUGACGACGGGCACUGACAUUGCACGUGCGCACCAACAUGGAUGCACGCACAGAACGACGCGCAUGAACGAAGCGCACGCUGGAAUCAUGUUAUUGCCAAUGGAGGGAACAUACUGGGCAGGCCAAGAAGAAGAGAGAUCAGGUCC